rfam:Hordeum vulgare subsp. vulgare, WGS project CAJW01000000 data, contig: morex_contig_7154
AAUGUACUCCCUCCGUCCGUAAUUACUCACCAUGGAAAUAAAUUAAAAUGGAUGUAUCUAGAAUUAAAAUACGCCAAGAUACAUCCAUUUCUCGGACAAGUAUUUUCGGACGGAGGGAGUAUGUC